UUCCGGUUGAUCCUGCCGGACCCCACUGCUAUCGGGGUGGGACUAAAACAUGCAAGUCGAGCGCCUCCAAGCUAUGGUGAAGGCGCGGCAAACGGCUCAGUAACACGUGGCCAACCUACCCUUGGGACGGAGACAACCCCGGGAAACUGGGGCUAAUCCCCGAUAGGUGAGGAAUCCUGGAAUGGAUCCUCGCCCAAAAGACGUUGAAUCCAUGCUAUUCAGCGUCGCCCAAGGAUGGAGCCGCGACCGAUCAGGUAGUUGGUGAGGCAACGGCUCACCAAGCCGAUAAUCGAUAGGGGCCGUGAGAGCGGGAGCCCCGAGAUGGGUACUGAGACAACGACCCAGGCCUUACGAGGCGCAGCAGGCGCGAAACCUCCGCAAUACACGAAAGUGUGACGGGGUUACCCAAAGUGUUCUAUUUAGAACUGUGGUAGGUGAGUAAUGUCCCCUACUAGAAAGGAGAGGGCAAGGCUGGUGCCAGCCGCCGCGGUAAAACCAGCUCUUCAAGUGGUCGGGAUAAUUAUUGGGCUUAAAGUGUCCGUAGCCGGUUUAGUAAGUUCCUGGUAAAAUCGGGUAGCUUAACUAUCUAUAUGCUAGGAAUACUGCUAUACUAGAGGGCGGGAGAGGUCUGAGGUACUACAGGGGUAGGGGUGAAAUCUUAUAAUCCUUGUAGGACCACCAGUGGCGAAGGCGUCAGACUGGAACGCGCCUGACGGUGAGGGACGAAAGCCAGGGGAGCGAACCGGAUUAGAUACCCGGGUAGUCCUGGCCGUAAACGAUGCAUACUAGGUGAUGGCACGGCCAUGAGCCGUGUCAGUGCCGUAGGGAAACCGUUAAGUGUGCCGGCUGGGGAAGUACGGUCGCAAGGCUAAAACUUAAGGAAUUGGGCGGGGGAGCACACAAGGGGUGAAGCCUGCGUUCAAUGGAU
rnacentral:rRNA from 1 species